rnacentral:lncRNA from 1 species
AUUUUUAGCCCAAUUCAACUUAUAGAUUGUAAAAAAACCUCCAAAAAUUGCACCAAUGUCACUCGGCCGCCAACUUGAAAAGUGAAGCAAAAAUCCUAGCAAUGAUUUCUCCUUCUCCAACUAUUAACUUUAUCUCAAAAUUGGUGUGUAGCUUGAUCUUUAGGUCCUCCAACACCAUGCCAAUUUUCACCUUAAUCCAACUCUAGAUCUUUAGAUAUCAUAGAAACCCUAUCCAACAUCAAAUUGCCACCUUCUGAAAUCCUUUUGUGCUAAAAACUAGAUAAUUCUAAACUAUGCCGUUAGAUUAUCAUAAAAUUUUGCAUAUGCUUUGCACACCUAAUAAUCCAAAUAAUAUAAAAUUUUUAAUCGUAGAUGUCAUGCCAAUUGCACGAAUUAGCCAAAAUUGCUAGCCAUAAUUAUAUUAUAUAAAAUCCAAAUCAUUGAUAAAAAUCCUAAAUUUGAACAAAAAUUUCUAAGUCUUCUAAAACCCUUUCAAAACAAUUUUUACAUCUUUAGAAAGAACUUUAAGCUAGCUCUCAAAUUCUAACCUCUGAUCUUCAAAUAAUCCCCUAAUUUGCCCUUGGCGGUCGUUUUGGUAACCAAAGGUCUGAUUUCGACUCUAUCUCACAAAUGGUCAACCCCCAAGUAUCAAUCUAACUUAUCUUAAGGAUUUUUUAGCCCAAUUCUACCCUUAACUUGAUCCUAGUAUCAACCAUAUCAACCAUUUAUCUCUUCUACCCUGGUUUUAUUAAUUUAUGGUCUUUCUAAAGUAGUAAAAGAGUCUCUACAACCUAGAAGGUAAAAUUACUAACUAACUUUCAAGCUACUAACUUUUAAGAUAAGAAAAUAACCUAAGAGGCUUUUUAUAAAAGCCAUGUUUAGAUACCUCAAAUUAUAAUUGAACUAAGAUAAUUAGAUAAUAAGUAGAAAUUUAAUUUUAAUUAUAAUUUCACUAUAUAGUCAUAUUACAUCACGACAUCGAUAAUCUACAUACAUCUACAAAGAUCCGUCUUUUUUCUUCACAAAUAAGAUAGAAACCUCGGCUAGAGUUUUAGAAUGGCAUAAAAAUUUCUUAGCCAAAUUCUCAUCAAUGUAUUCUUUCAGUGUAGUCAAUGCAUUUUGUGAUAGGCAAUAAAUUGGUCUUAAUGGUGGUUGAAUUCUUUCUUGAAGAUUGAUGGUACAAUCAUAAGGAUGAUGCUCUAUAAGAAUAUCUACAUUCUUCUUUUCAAAAAUGUCCUAGAAAUCUUGUACUAGUUAGAAAUAUCACUUAAUAUCUUUUCACCAUCAACAAUGAGCAUGGCAUAUAUAGCAAAAGAUGGCCCUUUAUUUGUGGCAUGCAUAAAAGCUUUUGGACCUACUCAUAAUGAUUUGGAUAUAUUAGGCUUAUAGAUUUUUACUUGCUUAGUAGGACCUUGGAUUAACCUAUUAGAAAAAUCAAAAUUGCAAGAAAUCUAGUUUAUUAGAGGGUUAUAUCUUUCUAACCAUGAUAAUCCUAAAAUAAUUAGAUUAGAAAAAUAUUUAAUCACAUUAAAUAUUAUUAAAUUAUUAUGACUAUUAAUUACUACUUUUAUACUAAUAGUUUUAUAUGUAACAUCUCUAGAAGAUAAUGAACAUCCAUCUAUUACUUCUACAUGCACAUGUUAGAUUUUCUUAAUUAAAGAUAUAUCUUGUUUUUAACAAAGUCUUCAUCUAUAAAACAAAUUGAGGCUUCUAAAUCCAACAAGGCUAAGUCUUUGUGAUUUUUUAGUCCUAAAUAGACUUCUAUUGUAAAACAAGAUGAAGGAUCAAAAGAGAGAAUAGGUCCUUUGCUAGAUGUUGCACAUGAUUCAAAUUGCAAUGUCCUCGUUGUAGCUCGAGCAACUCAUUUUUUGACACAUUAUCUUCUUUAGCAAUCAUGCUCUUUAUUUUGUAAUUACGUUGUUUUUUUAGAUAAUAUUGACUAAUAUGUUUAGCUUUUCCAUAAUAUAAGCAUGAGCCUUUUUGACGUUGUCAUAUUGUAAAAACUUAUAGUAUGUAAAAAUUAAUUAAAAUAUAUUAUUUAUUAAUAAAUCUAAAUGUAUGUUAGAAUAGUUAAUAGAUUAAUUUAAAUAAAAUAGAUAUAAAAAACUUCAUUUUGAGUUUUAUAUUUUUUAAUUAUAACAUUUCAAAAAAAUUAUAGGACCUAAAUAUUUAGUAUGAGGCCUUAAGAGGAGAUUAGAGCCUAAAGAAGAAAAUCUUAACUAGUAGGAGGCUUAUUGGGAGGGAUGAAAGCAAGGCAUGGUUGGAUGAAGGCAAAGAAUGGAGAUCUUCAUUCCUAUUGGUCGAAGGCCAUAUCCAAUGGACUUCAAGGAGGCUACCUAAGGGCUUAUUAGAGAUUAGGAUUUUUCUUUGGAAGUCAUUUCAAAGGUCCAAUUUACUAAAGAUUGUUGCACCUCAAAGUUUAUCAAGAAAAUCAUCCACACAUAGAAGUGGAUAUACAUUUUUAACAGUUUGCUUAUUGAUGCCUCAAUAAUCAAUGCAAAGUCAAAGUCCACUACCUUUUUUGGAAGCUAAGAGUACAUGUACUUUCUAUGACAAUGUGCUUUUUCAAAUGAGGUCCUUUUUUAAGAGUUUAUCUAAUGGCUUUCACAAUUCUACAAAUUCAUUUGGUGUUAGGUAGUAAAUUGUCCAACUUGUCAGCUUGAUCCUAAGCACUAUUUCUAUUUGAAAGGAGGUACCUUGAUCACAUGGCAUGCUAUUAGAUAAAUCAAUUGGAAAGACAUUAUGAUAUUCAUAUAUGAGUUGCUCUACUCUUUUUGCUCCUUUGACAAUCUUUUCUAUUAAUGAAGCAAGUUUUAGAACCAUAACAUAUUGGCUAUGGCAUAGCAAUUGAUUAUGUCAUAUUUGCUUCUUUAUAAUGGUCAUUCCUACAAGUAAGCUCUUAGUUGCAGGUUUUUUUCUUAUGCCACUUAAUAUAGAGGUAUAAAGAGUUAGUGUGCAUCUUCUAUCUUUGAAAGAGAUUCUCCUUGCUAGUAAAUGGACUUGUUUAUUUUACACAUCUAGCUAUGGCAUAUCAAGGUUGAUAUCAUAUCUAAGCUUUGUUAUUUUAAAUUUUUCUCUCAAGGCAUAAGUCUCGCUCAGUCUCAAGGUUUCUUCUUCACUUAUUUUGCUCAAUACGUUUCUGUUAGUCAUUUGUUAGGUAUGUAUUCCUUCUUUUGAUGACCUUUGUUUUAAUCCUAAGUCAAUUAACAAUUGUUGUUAAGAUAUAAUGUUUUGUAGAGUUGCAAUCCACAAGCACUUGAUAUGGUUGUCUUCUUAGUCAAUCCAUUAGGCACACUUGUCAACCCUUCUAAUAGUUGUUUGAAGCUAUACGGUUAAUCUAUGAGAAAUAACAACUAUUCCUAAUAUUGACCUUUGGUAUCUUUACUGGGAGUAUUAUUUUACUGCUCCACUUCUUCAUCAACUUAGUAGCCCUCAAGAUUGUGAAUCUGUCGUGAUUUGCUGAUACUUGAACUUUGAAGUUUUAGACAAUCUCUGAUUUGAUGGUCUAGCUUUCAGUAAUAAAAGCAGAAUUCCUUUUGCACCAAUAUUUGUUGUCUUUGUGGCAUCAAUGUCUAUCGACAUCAGUUAUUGUGCCAUAAUAUUGAGUAGUGACAUAAGACUCCAUGAUAUAGGUCAUACUCUACCAUUUCUGAAAUCUAUAGCAUUGAUUCUUUAUGCAAUCCUAACUGCCUCCUCAAAUGUUUGUGGAUCCUUUAAUUCCACCUCUCACUAGAUCAUAAGUUUCAAUCCUUAUAUGAACCAAUCCAUCAUCUUCGCCUCUAAAAUAUUGUCAAUUUGAAGAUAUAAGAACUUAAAUUGGGAGAUAUAAACUUGCAUUAAUUUGGAUUGUAUAAAGUUAGCUAAUUGAUCACAAGCUAACUUUUCUACAUUGAUGGGCUGAAAUUGAUUCUUAAGCUCGGCCUCAAACUCCUUUUAGUCAUAAAAUCUACCUUGAACUCCAUAGCUUUAAGCUUGAUCUUACUAUCAAAUGACUGCUGUAUCUCUCAAAUAAUUGGAAGCAUAUAUAAUUCUUUUGUUAGUAUUUGCUCUAGUUAAUUAGAAGUAUUAUUGCAUACUAAAGAGCCAUUGACAUAUAUCUUCUUACUUUGAGGUUCUUGAGUAUGUAUCAAACUUGCUUAAUUUCAACUUAGCAAAUAUCAACUUGCUUGCCUUGAAAGCUUCUAUUUGCCCUUGCAGAGUAGCUAUUUGGCCUAGAAGGUCUUAUAUCUAAGUCUCUAUUUGAAAUUGCUCUACCAUAUCUCCCAUGCUACAAUUUCUUUGCUAAAUUUUAUUAUUGUGAUAACUUCUUUUCUUCCACUUGACUUCUUGAAAUAACUUGUUGUUGUCCCAAUGUAGUACUCGAUGUGAUCACAAUAAUUGAUUCUCAGCUAAAUGGUGGUUAUGAACAUACUACCAAAGAAUGGACUAACACUCGCUCUAAUAUCAAUAAAACAAGGCCUGAUUCUCUAAGAUCUAAAAUCUUACCAAUUUGAUAACAACAAAGAUCUCAACGUAACAUAAGAUCAAGCAUACUAAAAAAUAAAUAAAAGUAACUAAACAGAAUAGAACAUUAUGAGCUAUGAAUCCUCCCUACUUUAUUUUGAGAAAAAAAAUAACUUCAUAAUAAAUUCAAAAAGUAGUAGAAAUUAAUUGUGAAAUUAAUUUAAUGGUUGGUUAAUUAAUUAAUCAAUUUAUAAUUAUCUAGAUAAUGCCUUUCAAGCAAUGGUUAUCAUUUAAUUUAGAACAAGUGAUAAAAAAUAAAAAUAAAUUAAAAAAUACUAGCAAAUGGAAGUAGUCAGAUGAAAAAAAUAUGGAUAGAAUAAGCAGUUGGAUGAAAAUAAGCACAUCUGGAAUAGAAACAGUAUAGUCAGAUGAAAAUAGCACUGCUCGAUGAAAAUCACAUGGUUUGAUAAAAACAAGCAUAGUUGGAUGAAAACAUCAUAGGGAUAGAAAGCAGUAGCAGCCACUACUAGGAUAGAGCAAUAGCAGCAACAAAAAAAAAUCUCCCAAUUUCAAACCCUCAUAACUUAAUGGUGGGCCCUACCAAGAUAAUUGCCCUUCUAAAAAACUUUAGAGAUAGGCCCUACUAGGAUAACUGUCCUAAGCCUUUCUAAAAGGUUUAAUGGUAGGUUCCAUAUGAACUACCAUCUUAAUCUCAAUUCUAGAAACUUUUCAAAAACAACUCCAAUUACAUAUCUCUAUGUGCAAAUAGUACAAAUAUCUUAUUCAUGCUUUGUUAUAAUGCCACUUUCAAAAAGUCAAUAGUUGAUGAAAUUCAAUUCUAGCAUUGUCAUACAUAUGAAAUUGAAAUUGAAAUCAAAAGAUUGCAGAUAAUAAAGUGCAUUGAGAAGUAGUAUAUGUAUUUGACGUAUAUAUUCCUUCUCCAAGAAUUUAUGAAAAUGUGUUCAGAUUAGUAGCUGGGCCAUGUCAUAUGAGCAUUAGUGAACUAAGAAAUCUUAUUAGUCUCUAAGAUAUAUACUUAAAAUUAAAUAAAAAAAUAAUCUCCUACAAGAAAACCUUUAGAGAGAGAAUCUUAAACCACCAAAGGAGAUAUCAACUUUCUGGAGAUGCAAAAUUUGGUACAAGUUUUGCAUGAAUAUUGCACUCAACUUACUAAGAAAAUAAAACAGAUUGACUUCUACAAGCAUAUAGAUGGCUUUUGUCAUCCAUAAUCUUAAGGCUAAUUGAUUAACUAUUAAGAAAUAGUGUACCCAACUAUAAUUCUUAUUGUUGAUUGUAUUGAGCAUAGAGCUAUUGGAUUAGGUUUUGUACUAGCAUGAGCUCAUACUUUCAAUUUGUAACAAAUAAUUCAAUCUUAUGUGUAGCUAAAGCUUGAGAAAUGCAUGCAUGCACUAAAAAAUACAAUAAAGAGGUUGGAGGGAGUGCUUAGUGAAUCUUGAGAGAUGCUAAAAGUUCUAUUGUAUAUUAUAUUUCUUUGUUUAUUAAAAAAAAUUGUAAAAAGUAAUUUUUGGCUCACAAACAUGUCUUCAAUUAAAUGCUUCUUUGACAAUGUGACAAUGGCAUGGCUUCAGCUAGUCUAUCAUACAAGAACUAUAGUAAUAUUAAAAAGCACACUUUUUUAAAAAUCAAAUGAAGUUAAUGUUUUUCAGUCCAUUAUAGGAAACUACAGAUGUACAAAUUUCAUUUGAACCAAAAACCAACUAUUAAAAACAGAGAGAUUCUACUCAAAUAUGAACAAAUAAAUAAAGAAGCAGUUCAACUUGUUAAUCACCACCUCUUCCACAGAAAUGAGCACUGCCCAAACACUCUUGUUAACAUUUUGUUUGUAACUUAAUGCUAGAGUAAGUCAGAAAGGCAGACCAAAAAGUAACAAGGCCUUCUCAAAAGCAAGGGCUCUAUCAGUGAGGUUCCAAGGAGGGAACGAGGCUCUAAGACCAUGGGACCCUCGCCCGGGGCUGUGUCCUGCGCUCUCGCUCUGGCUCUGAGCGUCAAUUAGGCGAAGAAGAUUCGAAUGCUGAGGUGCAGGAUUGCGGUCGGUGACGCGAGGGAUGGCAGGCGAGCUCGUCUAAUUUGAGGGAUUGUGAAGAAGCGCGUGACAUAGUGGAGAAUUGGAGAGCUAGUUGUGUAGGCGUUGGUGGUGGGGGGUUGGGUUGGGCUGGGUAGUUAGGGUUGCGGGGUGCGCGAAAUGGCGAUGGCGGUGCAAGGUGCAGUGGUGGGGGUGGAGAAGGGGUUCGGUGGGAUGGAGUUCAUGGGUUGCGGGAUAGAGAAGAGGGCGGGGGUGGCAUUGCCGGUGGUGCUGCCGAGAAAGGAUGGCGUGGGGUACAAUUCAGUGGUGCGAGGCAGCUUGGUGGCGACGGAGUGGAGGGGAUUCAUCGCCGGGGCGCCUCGCGUGCGGGAGAGGGCGGCGACGCUGCGAGUGCGGGCGGGCAACGCCGACAGCGACGGGGUGAAGUGGUGGGAGAAGGACGGUGGCCCCAACUUUCGGGAUGUGCACUCGACGCAGGAGUUCGUGGAUGCGCUGGCGAAUGCCGGGGAGAAGCUGGUGGUGGUGGAGUUUUACGCGUCGUGGUGCGGGUCGUGUCGCGCGCUGUACCCGAAGCUGUGCAAGCUGGCAGCGGAGCACCUGGACGUGGAAUUCAUGAAGGUGAAUUUCGAGGAGAACAAGCCGAUGUGCAAGAGCCUGAACAUCAAGGUGCUGCCGUAUUUCCAUUUCUACCGCGGUGCGGAGGGUCGGUUGGACGCGUUCUCGUGCUCGCUGGCGAAGCUGCAGAAGCUGAGGGACGCGAUUGCACUGCACAACACUGAUAGGUGUAGCAUUGGCCCGCCAAUUGGGGUGGGCAACAUUUUUUCGAGCGGCAACAAGGAUCAAGCCGCCGCGGCGUCGACAUCGUCGUCAUAGUACAGUGGGCAUGAAUGGUAGAUAGAGUAGGUGUGGUAGUCUGCGAGGGGAUUUUACAGGCAUUCAAAAUUUUCCAGAGGUCCCCGAGGAUGCGGGAUGCUUUGAUUAGGGCUUGUAGGUUGUAAUCUACGUGUACGCAUAAGAGUGACUUAAUGUAAACAUAGUAACAGAUUCAGUGGGCGACUGUUGUUAUAAGUUCUCUUCGGUUUUUUUUUCUUGGUAUCUGCAUCUGGAUUCGGGCUUGCAAGGUGUGAGUGGGGCAGGACAACGGCAGCUUGGAUUGCCAAUUGCACGAUUGUGAAUUGAAGGUCGUCAUGUGUGAGGUGAUCAGUUGGGCAGGUGAAAAGGUGACGAGGCGGGCUUGGAUGGUGAAGCCAUGACGAAGACGUUGGGUGGGAUGAGGCGAUUUGAGUGGAAUGAGGUGUAGGUUAGUAAUGUGGUUGUCUUCGUGGUGUGCUUUUUUUGUGCUGUAUUUGGCACCGAGAGGGAGGAGAAGUUGUGUGUGGCCAUGUUCAUGCCCGUCAGUCCGUGCAUCCUUGAUCAAUUGCUAGGGUCAUUUUAUAAUUGCACAGAUUGAACUGGCCAGUUGCAUGUAUGAGCUUAAGUGGUUGCCACCCAGCUCAGCUUAUUGUCUAGUACAAUGGAACGUAGUUCCUACUUGGUGAACCUUCUACUUGUUAAACACAUACUGUACAACUUUUAUAUCCACAUUUGUAUAUAUAAGUUAUUGUUAAUGUCACCAUAAUUUUUGUUUUAGUUUUUAAUUAAAGUUAAAGUUUUUUUAUUUAACAUAAUUUGAAAACAAAAAAAAGAAAUGUUGGUAAUAUUUAUCCUUUUUUAUUGAUUGAAAUAAAAACAUCUAAAGACAUUUAUUUAGUUGGUAAUAGAGUGGUUUUGUCAAGAAUAAGAAUUUAAAGAAUGUAAAUUUAAAAGUGGGUCAUUUAUCAAAGAGAGAAGAUAAAAAAGAAGUAAAUAAAUAUGUAUAUUUAAGAAGAAAUUAAAAUGAAUGUUGCCAAAGAUUAAAAAACUACAAUCUCUUAAAACUAGAUUAGGAAUAGAAAAGAAUGGAUAAGAAUGAAGGAAUUUUUCUUGCUUCUAUAUAUGGUAUUUAUCUAAGAGCUACAUGACCAUAUUCCAUAGGAUCUUUAAUACACUUAACUUGUAAUUCAAGUUUUUUAUAUUUGAGCCACAUGGCUAACUUAUACCAUAAUUGACCAACUUAUGAGACAAAUGACCAACUUGUUGAUAAUAUUUUCAGCCUACCAAUUAUCUGCAAGUAUAUUAAAAAUCAAAUUUGCAUCCAUGAAGCUUCUAAAAUACUUCUUAACAUAUUAUAUAAUCUAUUUCUACUUAAUUCUACCUAAUUUCAUUUAUCUAAGUAACUAUUGGUGUCAGUUAUAUCAAUGGCAUUACUUCUACUAAGGACAAAUUCUACAAGGAGCGAUAAUCAUAUGUUGAAAAAGUCCUAGAUGGAAUGAAUUGUAUUUGCCAAAGGUAGUUGAUAGGACUUCUUAGCUAUCAAUAAAGUUUCAUAUUAAGGCAAAAAGAUCACCAUAUUACUUGAUCAUUGUUGAAGGUUUCAUAACCUCUUUUGAAUAAAUAUUUUGUAUAGUAUCAAUAAUAUAUUUUACUUUCAAUAAUAUCACUACAUAUUAAGAGUUUCUUCUAAGGUCGUGAUAUCAAAUACAUUGUAUCUUGCUAUCUAUUUAAGGAAGAAUAUAUUGUUCCCAAAUGUCUUCAUCUCUAUUAUGUUGUCUUGAAGGCUAUAACAAUGUAAAUGUUUUGUUCAAUAACUUAGCAAACAAGAAUUUCCAAGUUAAAACUGUUAGUUGUUGAUUCUCCAUCUCUUUAGUGCUACAAAUAUAAAGAAACUACAAACAAUGAUAGGAGAUAGAAUACAAUCUAUACUGAAAUUACUUUGCUUUGUAGUAAAGAAUUUCUUGACUCUUUAUCUUGAUUUUGAUAGAUAAUGCCAAUAAAAAGCAUUGAUCUUUUUUAUUGUCUUUGUAAGAUUCUUAAAUUGCUUCUAUGUACAUUCACUAAUAUCAUAUCCACACCAAUGUAUAACUUACUUCAAUCUAUUUCAAUGUCACUUUAAAUCUAAAAAAAAAUCAUCUCAAAUUCUCAAUUAUUGUUUAUUUCUAUAAGAAGAGAUAUCAUUUGUCUUUUUCUUGGUAUACUCACUAUUUUGUAUAGCUCAAUGAGAGGCACAUAGAACAAAAAAUAGAUCUUAAUAGGCUCUAGUAAGUGUAAUUAAUAUGUAAUUGGAUUGAUCUAUUUAUAAAUAGGAAAUGGUUUAAGUCUACAAUAAUCCAACUUAUCACAAGAGUAGAUAGUCUUAAUAUUAUGGCAAAGUAACUAUACAUUGUUAUCAAUGUGGAAUAAAAGUUUUUCUUUGCAAUAAACAUCUAUAUUGAUCUUUUGUUGUUUUUGAGCUUCUUUUUAUUGUACCUUCAUUAUUGCAUGUUGUUUCAAUGAAUGAUUUGCUAAAUAUUUUGUUUUAAGAUUAUUAAUUUUUAAAAAAUUAAAAGUAUGAAAUAAUAGAUGAUAACCAUAAUUGACAUAGAAUUAUUAUUUUUAAAUAAAAUAAUAUAUUAUAUUAUUAUAAUAAACCUUAUUAAUAGUAAAAAAGUUGUUUAAUCAUCUUGAUGGUAGUUAAUGGUGCAUCCUAGAUACUGGUCUAAGAUAUGAUUUAUCUACUAUGUUUGUUUAUUAAUUUAAAGAUAAAAAGCUAAAAAUAUAUUUAUGUCUACCUUUUAUAUCUUAAUUUUUUUUUUCAAAAUCUUAACAUAAAUUGAGUUCUUUUAUCUAAUAUAAUAUCUCUUGAUAAUUCAUGAUAGUAAUAAAUAUUAUUAAAAUAUAUAUAUAUAUAUAUAUAUAUAUAUAUAUUUAUUUCUUUAUAUAUGAUAGUUUUUGUGUAUGGCAUUAAAUAAGCCAUCUUAGUGAAAUAAUCUAUAAUCACAAGUAUAGAGGUAUAUAAACUUGAAAUUUGAAGAUUUACAAUAAAAUCUAUAGAAACAAAAGAUUGCAGUUGUUUUGAUAUUUGUAGUGGUUGAAAAAGUCCAUAAUGUCGAUGAUAAGGAAUUUUUUAUUUUAAACAAUUAUGAAAUGAUUAAAGAAAGUCUUUAAUUGCCCUUACUAUUUGAGACGACCAAAGAUCUUUUGAAAUUUAAUCUAGGAUCUUAUUAUAUCCAAAAUGUCUUAUAAUUAAAAAGUUUUAAUAAGCUUAAAAAGCUUGUAAUUAAGCUCCAUCUUUUAGGAUAUAUAAAUAUCUUUCAAAAUAGAGUAGAUUAUUUUUGAAUUCAAAUUUGGAAAUAUCAUAAAUUUUAAAUAGAUUAUUUUUAAUAUCAUGAAUAAGUGAAUUUAAGAACAUACUUCAUUGGACUUGAUUAAAAAUUAUUGAAUCAAUGCUCAAUGUUGAUUUUAUUUCUUAAAAAUGAAAAUGCUUUGGCUUCAAAAAAAAUGAUUUAUUAUUUAUUAAAAGUUUCAUUUCUUUCUUUUAAUACAAGACAUAUUAUAAAACUUAUUAUCUUUUUAAUUGAUGAAUGAUCUUAAAUACAGAUCUUGACAAAAAUGUGCUCCAAAGGACUUGGACACAAUCCAAAAUGCAUACUGAUAUAAAAUACUAAAGUUUCUUGUGAUUUAUAUAAAUAGUUAUCAGAUUAAGAGCGUUUUCUAGAUAAUGAUACUUUUUUAAAAAUAAAUCCAUAAUCGUAACAAAUUCUUUAUUGUGGAUCUUGUAAUUGAUCUUGAUUAAUAAAAUUAUUUUUGAAUAAAAUGCUACUAGGUGAAGAUUGUUAUUUUCUUUCAUUUAUAACAAUAUUACAUCCAAAAUAAAGUCUUCUGUAUCUAUUUCUAUAAAAAUGCUUUAAAAAAAUUGACACAACAUAAGAUUGAUGUAAAAAUAAAAACUAUCUUCAAAGCAUUAAAUACUCCUUCAACUUCUUUGUUCCACUUAAGUUUGUCUUUACAAGUCAAAUAUAUAGAUGGAGCUACAACUUGAAAAAAGUUCUUCAUAAAGAUUUAAUAGUACUUGAAAAAUUCCAAUAAACAUUAAACAUCUAUUAUCAUUCUUAAAAACUUCCAAUCCAUAAUAAUUUUAAUUUUUUUAGGAUCUAUUAUGAUAUAUUCUAAAAAAUCAACUUGAAUUGUGUAAAAUAGAUACUUUUCUAUCUUGAUAUAAUCUUCCAUCUCUAAUUUUUUGAAAUAUACAAUAAAUAUAAAUUUUAUACUCUUAUAUGUUUUUAGAAUAAAUUAAAAUGUUAUCUAAAUAACAAGCAAGAAAAUCAUCUAAAAAUUCUUGAAAACCAUCAUUUACAAGUUGAUGAAAAAAAACAGUUAUAUUUAUAAGUCCAAAAGGCAUGAUAUUAUAUUCAAAAUGUCGAUGAUUCAAAAUGCAAUCUUUUAUUUAUUUCAUUUUUAAUGUGUACUAAAUUGUAUGUUCUUUGUAAAUCUAUUUUGAUAUAGAUCUUGGCUUAAUUCAAUUAAUCAAGAAGUCUUAAUAUUAGAAGUAAAAGAUACUUAUUCUUAAUAGUAAUCUUGUUGAAUCUUCAAUAAUCCUUAUAUACUUGCAAUGAGAAAUUUUGUUUCUAUACAAACAAGAUAUGUGCUUUUGUUGGAGAUUUUGAAUCAUAUACAAAAAAAUUGGCAAAAUUCUCAUCAACUUAUUCUUUUUAUUCAAUUAAUUCAUUUUAUAAUAAAUUAUAGAUUGAUCUAAAUGGCAAUUGAGUUCUUUCUUAAAGGUCAAUUGAACAAUCAUUAAGAUAAUUCUUUUGAAGAAUAUUUGCAUUUUUCUUCUUAAAAAUAUCUUAAUAAUUUUAAUAUUAGAUUGAAAUGUCAGUCAAAUUUUUUUUUCUAUUAAAAAUAGAUGUGGCAUAAAUAACAAAAGGCGACCUUUUUUUUGCAAUAUACAUAUAAGUUCUUAUACUUACAAAUAAUGGUUUGGUUGUAUUAGAUUUAUAACUUUUUAUUUGGAUAAAAAAAAUCUUAUACUCUAAAAAAAAAAAAUAAGACUAUAAGAAAUCUAAUAUAUUAAAAGAUUAUAUUUUUUUAGCCACAAUAAAUCUAAAAUGAUUAAAUUUAAAAGAGAUCUAAUAACAUUAAAUAUUACUAUACUAUUAUGAUUUUUUUUGCCACAUUUAUAAAAAUAGUUGCAUAAACAAUAUUUUCAGAAGACAAAAGGUACCUAUUUAUGACUUCUACACAUACAAGUUUAGUUAUUUUUACUAAAGGUAAUCUACGUCUUUAUCUAUAAAACAAAUACAUGCUUCUAAAUCUAAUAAGGCAAAGACUAUGUAAUUUUUAGGUUCUAAAUAAACAUCUAUUGUGAAACAAAAAAAUAUAUUUUGAAAAGAAAAUAUGAUCUUUAUUAGGUAUUUUAUAUAAUUUUAGUUGUUGUUGUGUUAUAUGAAAACUAAUUUAAGAAUGCAUUAGGCAUCUGAUUGUAGAAAAUAAAUUUUAUUUUCAAUAAAUCAAUAAGCUAAAAUUUCUAAUCAAAAAUUAUAAAUAAACCUUAUUUUAAUAUAAAAUAAUUAUAGUCAAAUCUUAAUAUAAUCCUAAACAAUCUUAAAGAAAUUUUAAAAUAAUUAUUAGCUAUUUGAUAAAAAAUAUUACAAAAAUCAUUAAAAAAAUUAAAAUAUCUUUCAAAAAAAUCAAAAAAUCAAAAAUAAAAUCUUAAAGAAACUUUAAAUAAAUAUUAUAUAUUUUUUAUAAAUUAUAAAUAAAUAUUUAAAAAACAUUUUUUUUAAAAUCUUAGAUAAAUCUUUAAAUUAUUCUAAUAAAAUCCUAAAUAAAUUGUAAUAAAAAUAUAAAUAAAUCCUAAUAAUCUCAAUAAAAUUAUAAAUAAAUAUUAAUAUAUUCUAAAUAUAUUUUUUAAAAAUUCUAAAAAAAUCUUAACAAAUAUAAGUAAUUUCUAAUAAAAUUUAAAAAAUCUUAACAUAUCAUAAUGAAAUCUUACAAAUAUCCUACAAAUCUUAAUAAAAUAUUAAUAAAAAAUUAAUUAGCUCUAAUUCAUCUUAAGGAAAUCUUAAAAUCUUAAUAAUUAUUGAUUAAAUUUUAAAUCUUGAUCAAAUUUUUACAUACAAUGCAAUCUAAUAAUAAAUAAUAAGCUCAACAACUUAAAAAAAGAAUCCAAUCUACUAAUUAAAAGAAAAAGCUCUUAGUUGCCUAAUUGCUGAUUUUUCUCCUUUUCCAACCUUGAUAUUAACCUUCCAACAAUAAUAAUUCUUUAAGAAAUUAUUCAUUUGUAUUUAAAAUUUAAAAAAUCAUUAAAUAUUAAAUUUAUAAUUUAUUCAUAAUAAUUUGUUUCAAUCCAAUUGACUCAUUACUCAAAACAAAGAAACUCUCAUUGAUCUUUGACAUCCAAACAUUAAGAUCCUAAUUCAAUUAUAUUUUAACGAUUUUUGAUGUAAUUUUUGGAUUGGAUUAAAAUUUAUAAAAAAAAUGAACACAAUUGUAUACAAAAGCUUAUAAAUAUUUAUUUAUCAGUAUGUUAGAAUAAUCACGAAAUUAUCAAAUAUAUAAGAUUUAAUUUUUUCCAAAAUUCCAAUAUAUUUAAAACAUAUUUAACUUCAAAAAACUCUCACACAUUUGAUUUUAAUUCAAAUUACUAAAAAUAAACACUAAAUAAAAUCUUAAGAAGUUUUUAUCUAGACUUGCUCUUUGAUCAAUAAAAAAACCUCAAAAUUGCUAUAAGUGCACAAUUUUGUACAUCAAGUUUUGAUUUAAAUCUAUGUUCAUAAUUGGUCUUCUUUAAGUAUCAACAUCUAGAUUUUUUAGAUGAUUUUUUCUAGAAGUAUUAUGCAUUCUUAUCUUAAGAUUUCUAUAAUAUUAGUUUUACUAAUCUAUCUUGUUUUUUCUUGUUUAUGGACCUAUAUAUUAAAUAGAAGCAUAAUUUAUGAAAAUACAACAUUAAUACUUACUAGUUUUAUUAUCUAUAUUUAUAAAGUAGUUUUUUAUAUUUUAAAAUAAGGUUUUCUAUAAUAUAAUGUCUUUUUAUUUCUUUCAUCUACUUGCUAUAUUACAAUACACAACCAUACAAUUUCUAUUAUACUUGAAUGAACUUAUUUUCUAACAUAUCUUUUUUGACACCCAUAAUCUUCAUUUUGUGCUUGUAUUGCUCCUAAACAAAAAUUUUCUUGAUUCAAUGUUUGAGGAUCAAGUAAGUUCAACAUCAAUUUCUUUACUUUAUAUGAUAGUUUUUAAAAAAAUUAGAUGAUGAGUAUAUAUCAAGGAUAUGAAUCACAAAAAACCAAAUGAUCAAUUUACUCUUUUGUCACUAAAAAAGAGUAGAUAAUUAUUGAAAAUGGUAUGAUAUUAAGACCACAUUGGCUACUAUUAAAGAUAAGAAGAUUAGAGACUUCUAAAACAAUACUACAAACAAAAAAAGUAUUGAUAAGAGUAAAAAAAGGCUUCAUUCUUAUCUCCAUAUAUAUUAUCUAAUAAAAAAUUAUGUUAUGACAUUCUAUAGAAUCUCCAACAUGUAUCUAAUUUACAAGAUGAUUUUUUUACAUGUGUGACUCAUAAUCAACUUGUACCACAAGUAGCCAAUUCAUUAACUAAGUUUUCAAUCCACCAAUCAACUAUAAAUAUGUGUAAAGUCAAAUUUACAUUCAUAAAUCUUCUUCAUAAGAUAUUAUCAAAUCUACCUACAUUUACCUUCUACCAAAUACUUUUUAUCUAGAUAAUUAUAUAUUUUUGUGACAUUAAUCUUUCUCUCUCUUCCUUCUUUUUUGAAGAAAAAAUUCCAUGAUGACCGGUGUCGUGUUGUAACAUGACUAUAUGAUGAAAAUAUAAAUGAAAAAGAUUUAUUAAUAUUUAGUCAUCUUGGAUGUUAGAAACAGUGGUCGAUUCUAGUGCUAAUAUUCAAGGGCCAGUUAAUAUCACCCCAUUGCAAGCUUUACCACCGAACGUGACAACAACGUAUGCUCCACCGGCAUCAUCGAACCAAGUACCCUCCGUACCAACGGGACGACUAGGAUCAUUUUCUAAUCCUACAUGGAACAAGCUUACUAAGUAUAUACUGGUGGAGACACCCAAUAUGCUUGAUGGAGGUGCAAGAAGACCACUUCAUUGUUUCCAUUGCAGACAGAUUGGUCAUUAUGCUAAUGAAUGUUCCAAUCCUAGAGCCAAUCACAAUUAUGCUGUCGUGAUGUAACACGGCUAAUAAGUGAAAGGGUUAAGAAAAUAUCAUGUUUUGAGGAUCUUACUUCAAAAAUAUUGUAGCAAAUUAUCUUGGAAAAAUAGAUAUUAGUCAAAAGGUAGAAAAAUUAAAAGUGCUAAUACUGCCUUUUUACAAAUUAUGCUUUUGUUUACUUUGUAAGGCCAUAAAUAAGACAAAAUAAGGUAGAUUAGAAAAAUGAAGGAUAUAGACAUAUGUAGGGAGGAGUUAGGAGUGCAAAUUAGUAAAAUUUACCUCAAGAAGAUGAAAGUUGAUACCCAAAGAGGACCAUUUAUGAACCUGGGUCGAAAUCAGAUCCCGAGGCACAAAACCAUGCUCUGACUGCGACUCAAGGGUUCUUUGGGAGAUCGGAGAGCCGAAAAGGAGAGAAGACUUGUGGAAGGAUUUUUGAGAGGUGAUUUCGUGUCAUUUGAAUCAGUAUUGGAUUUUUGAGGGAUUUUCAAAGCGAGUGAUAUUCUCUGUGAAUUCAGAUCUUUGAGAAAUAAAACCGGUUUACAAAUGUUUGGAUUUCGUGUCUUUUGUAGUAUUUUUAUGGGUGAAAAUUUAGAGACUUAUUGGUAUGCUUGUUAUAAAUGUGUGUAAGAGAUUUGAGGUCAAUCGAAUUGCUAGAUCAAUACAUAUGAAGGUUUUUGUGGACUAAGGUCUCGAGAUUUAGGGUUUUGAAGACCAGUAAGGUUUUCUUAGAUAUCUAGCAAUUUGCCAAUUGGAUUGGAGAGAUUUUUAGUUUUAUCAAUAGAAGACUUGAUUUCCUAUAUGUAAGUAAAAUUUGGAAGUAAUUGAAUAGUGGAAAAGAGAGAUAUUAGCACUAGAAGUUGGCAUCAAGAUUAGAGAAGGAGAGACCAACCAACAUCCGAGCGGAAUUUUGAGGUCUUCGACUAAUUAGUAAGUGCGAUUUUCUUCAAAAUUUGUGUGCUGGUUUCUAACUUAAACUCCAAGAAGUGUGCAAAUUUUGAAUUAGAAUCAACGGUUCAAUCUUUAGUUAUUUAAUUUUCAAAUCUAUAAUUAGGAUUUGAUUAGGGUUUAGAGUUAGGGUUUGGUUAGGAUUUGGUUUAGGGUUUAGGGUUUGUUAGGAUUAGGGUAUGGUUUAGGAUUUGGUUUAGGAUUUGUUUUAGGAUUUAGGAUUUAGGAUUUGGUUUAGGAUUUGAUUUAGGAUUUAGGAUUUGGAUUAGGGUUUGGAUUAGGGUUUAAGUUUUGAUUUAGGAUUUGAUUAAGGUUGGAUUAGAAUUAAGGUUUGAUUAGAAUUUAAGGUUCUAUUAGAUUUUUGUUAGGAUUUGACUAAUUUUUCUUUAAUAUUCUUUUAUAUUUCUUUAGGAUUUCCUUGUGUUUCUUUUAUAACUUCAAUAAAAUUUAAUUAAGCUUGCUUAAUGUAUGAUUAUGAUUGUUAACAUUUAAUUAUAAAUUCUCUAUAAUCCUAUUCGAUUGUUAGGACCUUUUGUUGCAAUUUUCUUUUACCUUCCACAGUUAGGUGCUCGGUGCAUUCUCAAGUAAGACUUCACGUAAUACGAUAACGUGUCAGUGUGUGGAAAUAGCAAGCAGUCGGGGCAUACUUAUCAGCAAUGUAAUGCUCCAGUCAAUUUUAUAAAUCGAGAUCAGCAGAUCCAAAGCCAAGGAAAAAUUGAGGAGAUAAAUCGAGGUCCUCAAGAUUCUUCAAUUAAUCAUGUGAAAUGUGUCCAAGCUAUUCUUACCAAGAGUUGGCAAAAGAGAAAAGGACCAAUUCAACAUUUGGAUGAGUCUGAUGUGAAGGGCCAAUUUGACCCAAUUACGGGGACAUCCAAUCCAGGUCCUGUUAGGGGCCUCUUAUCCAAUAUGAGACCUGACUCGAUUGGGCAACCCAAUGAGAUCCCAAAUAUGGAGGCUUUGGUUCCAUUUUAAGCUGUUUUAUUCUCUAUGCCAUUUUGGGAGAAACGUCCUUUCCGUAAAAAGAUCCUUUUAGAGGCGGGAAUUUCAUGGAAGCGCGGUCUACUGUUCUAAUUCGGAGUCCAAGGUAGAAAAAUAAGAGACCUCAUGGUAUUGUAUUACGUACUAUCUUGCUUGAGAAUGUAUCGGAUGUCUGGAUGUAGAAGAUAAAAUAAUGUUUUGCAAGUAUCCAAGUAGGCUAGUGGAUUUCAACCAUCUAAAUACAACUAUUUCAGAUUUUAAUAUAAAAGCUUAAUCCCAUUACAAAAUGCUUAGAAAUAAUAUUUUUAAUAACUUCAAGAUAUUAUAAAUACAAGUCUUUUGUUAUUUUUUAGUUUUAUAUUUUAUUUUAGUUUAUUUAUUUAUUUAUUUUAAAUCCUAACCCUAGACAGCGAGCUUCGGCAAGCCAUAAUUCUCAAUCUGACUAUCUGAUUGUUAUAAACUUUUAUCACCAGUAUCUUUGCAAGCCUUCUAAAUGCUCAAGAAGUUUCAAUCUAAUCUAACUUACAGGUUGCAAGAAAAUAUCGUUAAUCCACACCGAUGUAUCUUGACUGCCGCCUAGAAGUCCUCGACUUAUCACACCAAAAGUCACCUUAUUCCAGUUGGUAGAUCUCUAGAUAUUACAAAAAUCCUAAACAAUCUCAAUCUGUUAACUUUCGAUACCUCUUUACGUUAAUGGUCAAAUAUCCUCUAACUGUUCCAUCAGAUUAACACAAAUUUUUGCAUGCACUUUGCAUACUCAACCCUCUAGACACCUCUAAAUUUCAAUCGCAAAAGUUUUUCCGAUUUCACAAAAUACUCAAAAGUAACAGCCUUAAUUUUAUUGCAAAAACCCAAUUCACCAAUACAAACACUGACUUUCAGCAACGAUUGCCAAAAGUCCUCCCAAAUCCUAUGAAUCCAAUUCUACAUCUUUCGAAGGAACUUGAAGCUAGCUCUCUGACUCCAAAAUCUUGAUCUUCGAAUGCCUCUUUCCUUAUCCUCUCCUCCCUUUUAACUCCAUGUGGUCACCUUUUUUCGUGCCAUGGACUCCGAAUUAGAAUAGCCGAUGGCACUUCUCCAAAAUUCAUGUCUCUAAGAAAAUCUUUCCUCAGAAAGGACGUUUCCCCGAAACAACAUAGAAAAUGGAACAGAUUAUAAUGGAACCAAAGCCUCCGUAUUCGGAACCUCAUUGGAUUGCCCAACCAAGUCAGAUCUCAUAUUGGGUAUGAGGCCCAUACCAUGACCUGGAUUGGAUGUCCCUGUAAUUGGAUCAAAUUGGCCCUUUACAUCAGACUCAUCCGAAUAUUAAAUUGGUCCUUUCUUCUUUUUUCCACUCCUGGUAAGAAUGACUCGGACUCAUUCCAUCCAAUUUAUCAGAGAAUCUUGAAGACCUUGAUUUAUUUCCUCAAUUUUUCCUUAGCUUUGGACUUGUUGAUCCCAUUUAUUGAAAUUGGACAGAGCAUUACAUUGCUGAUAAGUAUACCUCAUCUGCUUGCAAUUCCUACAUAUUGACACGUAAUCAUCACUGGCUUUGGAAUUGGAACAUUCAUUGGCAUAAUAACUAACCUAGUCUGCAACAGAAAUGACAAAGUGGUCUUCCUAUACCACCAUCAUGCAUAUUAGGUAUCUCCACCGGUAUAUACCUACUAGGCUUGUUCCAUGUAGGAAUGGAAAAUGAUCCUGGUUGUCUCAUUGGUACAGAGGGUACUUAGUCCAAUGACGCCGGUGGGGUGACAUUAACUGACCCUGAAUAUUAGCAUUGGAAUUGGCCCCUAUUUCUAACAUCCAAGAUGACUAAAUAUUAAUAAUAUCUUUUUUAUUUAUAUUUUCACCAUAUAGUCGUGUUACAAUAUGACAUCCACUCCUUCUGAACCUAUGCAUCCUUUGAUAUGCACCAAAUAACCUAGUUGUUGUUUGAUUCAUAAUACGUUCUCCAAGUCUUCGUCCAAAUCCUCUUUAUCAUUUUUAUUAUCCAUGUCAAAUUCAUCUUCUUGUUGAGAAAUAUCUAUAUCUUCACCAAGAUCUUCUAUAUUUAUUUCUGUGUAUCUUUGUUUAAAUAUUUUUACUCACUUCUCUAUAAUUGGUAUUUUUAACCUUAUUCCAUCUAACUCUCGUAACGAGUAAGUUGCAUUAUCAUGAAUAGUUGUUACCACAGACGGUCCAAACCAUCAUUUAGAAAACUUCUGUAAAGCACUAUGUUGAUUGUCUAAGCUACUAUCAUGGACCAAAACCCAAUCAAAUAAUCCUUUUCAGCUUUCAUAACUGAAACAACUCCCCAUAGUUCUCUUUUCACCUGUGAAUAUGCACAUUGGUGAGUACUUAAAACUUAAGCUCCAAAUCACACUGCAAAUUUGUGUCCAUUUAAGUCAUCUUGACCUACACCCCAUCCAAUGGCAAUCGGACUAGUAUCCACAGUAAGAAUCACUGGUCUAUUGCUCUUAUAAUCAAUUUUUCUCAACAUUGGAAGUGAUAUCAAUAAUUUUUUUAAUCUUUGUAUUACUUUAACAUAUUUUUCUUCCUAUUUAAAUCAAUAGUCCUUGCAUAAUAAUUCAUAUAAUGGAUCCGCUAUGUGAGUAUAAUGAGGAAUCCAAAUACAAUAAAAUACACAUGCACCUAAAAACUUACAAAUCUUUGUUAAAAAACUACAAUCCUCUUUCAUUCUCUCAAUUGCAUCAACCUUAGUUGGAUCAGGUUUUCUUCCAUAAAAUCCACACAAAUGCCCAACAAACACAACCUCUUGUACUCCAAAUGUAGAUUUUAUAUCUCAUAAUGUAAGAUGAACUUCUCCAAGCUGAGUCAAUAUUUUUUUACAAUCUUGUAUAUGAUCAACAACAUACUUGCGACACCCCCUCUUAUCUAAAGUUUCAUCCUUGUCUUCUUCUUUGCACCCUUUUAUAAGAACAUCAUCUAGAAAAGGCAUAGUCUUCUCCAGAAUAAAAUCUCUCAAUACCUUAUUCAUCCCGUUUAUCAUAUGCGCAACUGAGUUGAUUGCACCUUGAGAAAGAAUACAUAUUCUAACCAAUCCGAGCAGUAUUCUCAUUGUUGUCAUAUCUCUACUUCCUUUUGUAAGUUGAAAUUAUUCAUAGUCUGAAUAUAAAUCAUCUAUUGAAUAAAUUGCCCUUCUUGCAAACGCCUCAGUAAAUUCAUCUACUAUGGGCCCAAUUCCUGCAUUCCUGAUAGUUAUUGCACUCACUGGUUGCAUAUCUUGAAUAAAAUAUAAUGGCCCAUUUUUUUUAGGUACUGUAAACCAUCGAUUAGAAUAUGGUACAAAAAAGGGCUCCAAAAUCUUCAUCUUCAUCUUUUCUUUUAAUAAUUCUACCAAGCUUGGUAAAUAUGUCCUUGGUAUUAGAAUUGGCCUUAAAUUCCAAGGUACAUGUGGUACAUUGAAAAUAACCAUAGAUGUUACAAUAUUUGGAUCUACACACCCAAUUUCAUAAGAUUCAAAGGCAAAUGAUCUAUCUUGUUUUGCCAACAUCUCUUUGAAGCAAGUAAUUUCCUCUAAAAAUAAAGAACCGUUAGAACCAAUCUUCAAUUCUUCAAAAGUCUCUUUAGUAAAAUUGUAUCCAAUUGUCACGGCCAUAAUCAUGUAAGCUAAUAAUUACAUAUACAAAUAGGUAGAAGUAAGUAAAAGUACGUAAAAGUAAGUUAAUUCUAUAAUAUUUAACAUGAAAGCUUCUUAGAAGCUUCCUAGAUGCUGCUUUGACUUCAUAGGUGUCUUUAAUUGACUUUUUGGAUUAGAAACGUGGUCAACAAGUUGGCCAUGUGCCACACAUGUUGUUAACUUGAAGAUCAAGCUAACUAUAUGGCCCACACGUAGAAAAACUUGUCUUGUAAGUCAAGGCAUGUGUCCUACAAAGUCAACACAUAUUGGAGGUCCUAUAGAACGUCGCCACGUAGCCCCUAGUUAGAUAGUAUAUAUAGAGACAAGAGUGAAGGCUUCUUCACUCUUGUCAACUCCUUUCUUGCUUCUAGUCUAGUUUCAAGGGUCUCUAGUUUUAUUGUCUUUGGGCAAUAGCCAUUCCAGUUUCUAUUUCAAUAUAUAUACUUGUUUAUAUAUAUAUUUUGUUACCUCUCUUUGAGUGAAGGCUCACUUGUCUGAAUUAUUUUUUCAUCGAGUUCUUGUCCUUGACAGAUUAACAAGAGUACACCUACAAUAUCAGAGCUUUGUCUAAUCUUGAUUAAAAGUGGAUUACCUUUUUUUCUUGAUAAGAUAUAAGUAUAUUAGAAGUUGCAGAUUACCCUCUUCUAAACUGAUAUUGUCCUUAUCAUUUUCUUUGUCCUCAAGUCCUCUCUUCUAUUUGUCUUGAGCAAUAUUAGACAUCUUCUCUCUUCUAAGUGUUAUCAUGGCAGAACUUCUCGACAUGAAGAGUGCAAUGGCACAAAUGUAAGAGCAAUUGAGGGAGUUAAUGCUUGCGAUGCAUCAACUCAAUUUACCACCACAAGGAGCAACAAGAUUGGCAGGAAGUGAAGAUAUAGAAAUAGUUGGAGUUGCUUCAACAUCUGCACCAAACCAUGUCCUUUUUCUUAUGGUGGAACGCCCUUCAAAUAUUAGAGAACCAAGAAUUGUCCUAUCCGAGAAGUUAGAUGGCACUAGAUCUAAGUUUCGAGGAUUUAUCAAUCAAGUUCAACUUGUGAUUGAACUUCAAUCCCAAAGCUAUCCAACUCCAGGAUCACAAGUUAGAUUCAUUGGUACACUUCUUUCAGGUUCAGCACUAUCGUGGUUUUCAUCUUUUCUUGAAUGACGAGAUCCAAUAUUGGAUAAUCUAGAGGCUUUUUUGGUAGAGUUUUGAUCCAUGUAUGGAGAGCAUGAUGCAAUUCGUGUUGCAACCAAUAAGAUCCGUAUUUUACGACAAGGCAAUCGAUCAGUAAUGUUAUAUGCUUCACAAUUUCGACAACUUACAACUGAUAUCAAGUGGGAUGAUGCUGCACUUAUUAGCCAAUUUCUCUACGGAUUACAAUAUGAGGUAAAAAAAUUAAUGCUCAACUUACCUGAUCCUCAAACAUUGAGUCAAGCAAUUGACUUUGCUGUGAAGUGUGACAAUCGCCUUUUUGAAUUUCGAUCUGAGAACCGUACAAAAGGACCUCAACGUUACUAUAAUUCAAUGGCAACACCAAUACCUCUUCAACACAUACAUUCGGAAGUAGGGGAUAUGCAAAUUGAUGCAGUACGUUUCAAACCUCUUACUGAGCAAGAAAAGACUCGUCGUCGUCAAGAAGGAUUAUGUUUAUAUUGUGGAGAACCAAAGUACACUGCUCAACAUUAUCCAAAGAAACGACGUAAUGACAAAAUGAGGAGUAUGGCUGUGAAAGAAGACAAUAUGUCGGAAAACGAGUUUGUUCAGCUACAAUAGGGACCGUGCGGCUGGAACCUUGCACAACAUCUAGUAAAGGUCCUAUUCUCUCCUCAGAGCCCUCUCCUUGUUUUACAUUAAAUGUUAUUUUAGGACCUAAACAUUACAAAGUCUCUGUCUUGUUAGAUUCAGUAGCCUCAGCAUGUUUUUUAGAUGAAGAAUUUACUAAAAGACAUAGCAUAUCUUUAGUAAAGAAAACUAAACCUGUUCAUGUAGAAGUCAUAGAUGGUCGUCCAUUGUCUUCUAGAGAUAUUACUCACGAAAUCCUUCCUAUAGAAGUAAUAAUCAAUGGUCAUAAUAGUUUUGUUGUAUUUAAUAUUAUUAGAUCUCCUUCUAAUCCAAUCAUUUUAGGUUUAUCGUGGUUAAAAAAAUACAACCCUCAAAUAGACUGGAUUUCUCGAACUCUUACUUUUUCUAAAAGUAUAACUAAUAGUGUAGUUAAUCAAGUAGAGAGUCAUAAGUCCAGUUUAAUUAAACCCGUAUUUAUAGGUACAAAAGCUUUUUUUGCAUGUUGCUAUGAAAGAAUCAUCAUACAUUAUUUAUGCUACACCCGUUUCUACUAGUGAAAAGACUUCAAGUGCCAUUCCAAGCCAAUAUCAAGAAUUUCAAGAUGUAUUUGAAAAAAAAAAUGUGGAUACACUCCCAGAACAUUGUCCCUAUGAUUGCUCAAUUGACCUUCAAGAAGGAGCACAACCGCCAUUCGGACCAAUCUAUAAUUUAUCACAAAAUGAGUUGGCUGAAAUCAAGGAGUAUAUUAAAGAAAAUCUAGCCAAGAAUUUCAUACGCCAUUCUAAAUCUCCAGCAGGAGCUCCAAUUCUAUUUGUGAAGAAAAAAGAUGGAUCAUUGCGGAUGUGUGUUGAUUAUCGAGGACUCAACAAGAUUACCAUCAAAAAUAAGUAUCCACUACCUUUAAUAUCUGGACUUCUUGAUCAACUGAAUCAAGCUAAGAUCUAUACAAAAAUAGAUCUCCGUGGAGCAUACAAUCUAGUAUGCAUCAAAGAAGGAGAUGAAUGGAAGACUGCGUUUCGAACUAGGUAUGGAUAUUUUGAAUACAAUGUCAUGCCUUUUGGACUUACAAAUGCACCAGCAGCUUUUUAACAUCUAAUGAAUGAUAUUUUUUGAGAUUUUUUGGACGAUUUUGUAGUAUGUUAUUUAGACGACAUCUUGAUCUAUUCUAAGAAUCCAGAAGAACAUGAACUUCAUGUUCGUCGUGUAUUACAAAAAUUAAGAGAUGCAGGACUCUAUGCCAAGAUAGAAAAGUGUGUAUUCUACACUACUCAAGUCGAUUUCUUAGGUUAUAUCAUUUCAAAUGAUGGACUUAUGAUGGAUCCUAAGAAAGUUCAAACUAUUAUAGAUUGGAAGAUCCCAAAAACGGUAAGAGAUGUCCAAUGUUUUUUGGGAUUUGCCAACUACUAUCGGAUCUUCAUCAAAGACUUCUCUCGAGUUGCAGCUCCACUUACACGUUUGACUUGGAAAGACAAACUCCAAUGGAAUCAAGAAGCGGAAGUUGCUUUUGAAUCUUUAAAGACAGCGUUUGUUUCUACAGUAAUCUUGUAUCGUGUUGAUUUUUCCAAAGCAUUCUUUAUGGAAACAGAUGCAUUGGACUUUGCUCUGGGUGCGGUUUUAUCACAAAUGGGAACAGAUGACAAACUUCAUCUAGUAGCCUUUCAUUGAAGAAAAUUCUCAGCAACAGAAAUCAAUUAUGAGAUCCACGACAAAGAACUUCUUACAAUUGUGGAUUCUUUUCAAGAAUGGCGUCAUUAUCUAGAAUGUACUUUUAGUCCAGUCACCGUGUAUACGGAUCACAAGAACCUCGAAUAUUUUAUGUCAACACGCGUAUUAAAUCGUCGCCAAGCUCGUUGGAGUAUGUCUUUAUCAAGAUUCAAGUUCAUCAUCAUUUAUUGGCCAAAAAAACAACAAGGUUUAUCCGAUGCCUUGUCUAGACGUUCUUAUCUUGCACCAAAAGAAGGAGAUGCAACUUUUGAGCAACAAAGAACGCUUCUCUUGAAGCCGAAGCAAUUUCAUCUUCGAGCAAUAAAAUCAACAUUGACUGUUGAUUUAACUUUUCUUAAGUAAGUCCAGUUAAGUAUGUCUUCAGACCCUCUUGUUCGUGAUAUCAAGAACAAUUCUUCUAAAUCUCAUGAUCUAUCUAAAUUUGAAUUCAAGAACAAUCUACUCUAUUUCGAAGGAUGCCUAUAUGUUCCAGAAGGAGAAGCACGUUUACGUGUUCUUCAAGCUCGUCACGACUUCCCAGCAGCAUGACAUUUUGGAUAUAAUAAGACUUUGGAGCUGAUAUCUAGGGAUUUUUGGUGGCCUCAAAUGUGAAAAGCAGUUAAAGAUUUUGUACAAUCAUGUGAUGUUUGCUCAAGAUCGAAAACUCCUCGUCAUCGAUCUUUUGGACUUCUUCAGCCAUUAUCCAUUCCAGAACAACCAUAGUCUUCUGUUUCUAUGGACUUCAUCAUGGAUCUUCCAAUCUCAGGUUCUUAUGACUCUAUAUUCGUGAUAGUAGAUCGUUUUACCAAGAUGGCACAUUUUAUACCAUGUACAAAAUCUAUCACAGGUGAAGAAACAGCUAAGCUCUUUCUUGACAAUAUCUAUCGCUAUCAUGGAUUACCCAAGGAUAUUAUAUCAGAUAGGGGAACUCAAUUUGUAUCAAGAUUUUGGCGAACUCUUUUCAAGAUUCUUAAAGUGGAUAUAAAACUAUCUUCGGCAUUCCAUCUUCAAACUGAUGGACAAACGGAGCGUAUUAAUCAAGUUUUGGAACAAUAUUUAAGAUGUACUAUUAAUUACCAAUAAGAUGAUUGGACAACUCUUUUACCAUUGGCAGAGUUUGCUUAUAAUAAUACGGUACAUUCUUCUACAAAACAAACACAUUUUUUUUGCUAAUUAUGGUUAUCAUCCACGACUUGAUACUUUUGACUUUUCAAAAGUUGAUAAUCCUGUUGCGAAAGAUUUAACAAUUCAAUUAUCAGAGCUACAUGCAACGAUGAAGGCGCAAUUAAAAGAGGCUCAAGAACAACAAAAGGUCAAUGCGGAUGUCUAUCGAAAGGAACAACCAUCAUUCAUCUUGGGUGAUAAGGUAUGGCUACUUUGUUGCAAUAUCAAGACCACUUGUCCUUGUGAUAAGUUGGACUAUCGAAGGUUGGAACCAUUUUCUAUUUCUGUACAAAUCAAUCCAGUUGCAUAUCAUUUACAUCUAUCGGAGUCAAUGAAAAUCCAUCCAGUAUUCCACGUGUCUCUUCUUGAACCAUACAAGAUGGUGGACAUACCAAGAAGACAACAAGCUCCACCUCCUCCUAUAGAAGUGGACAAUAAUGAAGAGUUUGAAGUAGAAGAAGUCCUAGAUUCAAGGCGACGCCGAAAUAAAUUAGAAUAUCUUAUCCAUUGGCCCGGAUAUGGUAUUAGUGAACGCACAUGGGAGCCAAUAAAGAAUCUUGCAAAUACAACAAAGGCGGUGGAGGCUUUUCAUCGAUGACAUCCAUCAAAAUCAAGAUGAAAACCUUCUUUAUAAAAGAAAUAACAUCUAGGUAAGAUAACAUUCUACUUUCAAUUCUUGUUCGUAGAUUCGUUGUAGUAGUAAUGCUCAGGAGAUGGAGAACCAACAACCAGCGAAUUCAACUCAAGAGCCUUCAUUUGCUGACUUGCCGGACGAGACAUUACGAUUGUCACAACCUUCAAGACGACGUAAUCGAGAUGAAGAUCUUCAAGAACGACAUAUUCUUCCUCGAAUAGAUGGCGAGAUACAACGCAUUUGAUAUCACGAUUUGGGAAGGGACUCCCGAUGUUUGGUGAUUUUGCUAGAGGUAGGAACAACUCUUGAUGGUGUUCCAAAUAUUCUAUUCGAAGGAAGUUACGAAGGCCUCAACAAUGAUCAAAUAACUGGGUGGUCUUCCCGCCCUGGUAUGGGACACUACCGAUGGUUGAGAGGUCCUAUCAAUCAUCUUCGAAGAAAACAAAGAUCAGAGUAUGUGGCGAAUACAAUUCGUCGCAUCAUAGAUUUUCUCAACAUAUGAUGAUCGCUCCUCAUGGAACUUGUCUCUAGAAGGAGAGGUAAUGUCAUGGCCAUUAUCAUGUAAGCUAAUAAUUACAUAUACAAAUAGGUAGAAAUAAAUAAAAGUACGUAAAAGUAAGUCAAUUCUAUAUUAUUUAAUAUGGAAGCUUCUUAGAAGCUUCCUAGAUGCUACUUUGACUUCAUAGGUGUCUUUAAUUGACUUUUUGGAUUAGAAACGUGGUCAACAAGUUGGCCAUGUGCCACACAUGUUGUUAGCUUGAAGAUCAAGCUAACUAUAUGGCCCACACGUAGAAAAACUUGCCUUGUAAGUCAAGGCAUGUAUCCUACAAAGUCAACACAUAUUGGAGGUCCUAUAGAACGUCGCCACGUAGCCCCUAGUUAGAUAGUAUAUAUAGAGACAAGAGUGAAGGCUUCUUCACUCUUGUCAACUCCUUUCUUGCUUCUAGUCUAGUUUCAAGGGUCUCUAGUUUUAUUGUCUUUGGGCAAUAGCCAUUCCAGUUUCUAUUUCAAUAUAUAUACUUGUUUAUAUAUAUAUAUUUUUUUACCUCUCUUUGAGUGAAGGCUCACUUGUCUGAAUUAUUUUUUCAUCGAGUUCUUGUCCUUGACACCAGUAUUCUUUGGAUCUCUCAAGCUCUUUUCUCUUGAUGCUUCUCCCAUUUAUUCUUUAGAAUCUUUCGGCAAAGGUUUGACAAUCGAUUUAACUUUCUUAUUUAUUAUCUUAUAUUUUGUCUCAACUUUUAUCUCCGGUGCUUGAAAAGAUUCAAUCAUAUCAUAAACUUCUCUUAAAUGAAUUGGUAUAACUUUAUUAUCAUUACCUAAUCCAAUAGAUACAAUCAAUUCCAAAGGAUCCUCUAGUCUAUUUUCUUCAUAAAUACCAAUAAUCUUUUCAUUAUCUUCUAAUAUUCCUAACUUAUACAAUUAUCUUUCAAUAGUACUAAAUUCUUUUAUUUCCUUUCUUUUUAAGUCAUCAAUCUUCUUAUACAUAAUGCUUCUAUUUUUAAAAAUGCUAAUAAAUCCUCCAUUAAAUGUACCUACAUCUUGCGAGAGUACCUCUCUCUAUGUACUUCUAUAAUCUCGCUUUAUAGUGGUACCCCCAAAAAAUCCUUGAAUUCUUCAACAAUCUUUGGCAAUAGAUUUUCUCUCAAUUUGUCUCGAUUCCGCUCAUGAUUUAGAGGCACAGUUAAAAACUGUACUACCCUCUUUCCAUCCUCACUACGAAUUUGUGCAUAAGUUGAACCAUCAUCAAGUACCUUUGUUUCUAUCCGAGUUGUAAUAAUAUAUGGUUGUCCCAAAAUAAGAGGAUAAGAUGUUGCAUCUUGAACAAAAAAAAUUUGCUCCAUUGCAACAUCACCAAUCCGAAUUUUCACAUCUGGGCAAGCACCAUAUAACUCCCCAAGUGUAUUAUUGGCUGCCCGUAUUGCCCAUCCAUGCUCCAUGUCAAUUGGCCACCUUUGCUUCAUAUAAAGAACUUAAGACAUAACGUUUAUCUCUGAACCAUGGUCAAUCAGAGCAACAAUUGGUUCGUCCAUAUCUCCAAUCUUCUCUAAUGCCUUUGUAGUUACUCUAACCCAAUGCUUUCAAGUAUAAUGACUUGAAACCUCUCUAUCUUUAUUACCUUGAUCAUCAAAAUGUAUCCUUUGAUUAUAACUCCUCCCUUCACUUAUUGAUUAUUUGUAACAAAUAUCAAAUACAUCUUCUUCACCUUCAUAUAUGUGUGCAUCUAUAGCAUGAUUUAAUCUAGCUUCUCCCAUUAAUUGCCUCUUUUGUUUAAUACUGUCAAUAAUAACAUCAUGGAAUUCUUUCUUAGUAAUUCAUAAAAUUUCUUUCAAUGUAAACUCAACCUUAGCAUUGAGCACACGUUCCUUAAGCACUCCCUUUAAAUCUAUUGCCGCUUCAAUAUCAGAGAAUAGUUUAUAAGUUUUUAAUUUACCUUUAUCUUUCAUCUCCUUUACUUAUUCUUUCGAUAUUGUUGAAGUAUCCUUUGUGGGCAAUUCUUAUGAAGCCAAUGCAUGAGCUUUAUCUCCUCAAGUUUGCUUUUUAAAAGAAUUUCCUUCUCUUGAAUCAUCAAAAUUUUCUCUCUUCUUUUCUUCCAUUAAAGCUUCAUGUUGGCUUUAAGCAAUAUAUGCAUGUAUUGACAAAGCUUCUACAGGAUCCUCCCAACUUGUAGCACCACAAAUUGUUGCAGUAGUUUUCAAUAAAGUUUCCCGUAGCAUCUUCUCUUUUUGCAUUGUAGAAAUAGCAGAAGACCAAAGUCCACUUGGUUGAACAUUUCCAACAAAAUUCUAUUUGCCAUCAUUAUCCACCCUAGUUCCAUAACUUGUAGCUUCUAUUGCUGUAAUUCCAUGUGUUGCCAAAUAAUCUUUAAUCAAUGCUUUCAUGCCUCUUUUACCAAAGUUAGUUUGGAGAAGAUCACUAGUAACUUUCAAUGCAACCUUUCCAUCUUUCCAAUAAACAAUGCCUUGUUGAACCAUCUCAUCAAAUUCACCACAAUCUUUUUGAGAAUGAAAAUUAUCAUUAUACCAAAUACAUCUUUGCACAUACCCUUGUUUAAAAGUAGCCUUUGAAUUUAUUGUAGAAGUUUUUUUUUCAAGCCUUGUAAGUUUGAUUUGAAGAUCUCGCAUCUCUCAUACAAUCUCUUCAAGUCUCAUAUCUUCUUUCUUUGGUGUAGCUAAUAGAGAUUGGAUAAUAGACACAGUCAAUCUUAUAGUAGGCAUUGGGGUCUUUGGUACUUGUACCACUCUUCAAGUAUUAAACUUAUCCUUUUUCCUUUCUUUUUUUGCAAGUAGUCCAAUAGCAACUUCAACAGGUCUCUACUUUAUUGUCAAUCCUUCUUCUUCUUCUUUAUCUUUAAGAAGAACCUCUAACUUCUCUUGUAAUUCUUUAUUAGCAGCUUGAAGAAACAAUUCAACCUUGUUUGGUCCCAAUGUUAACUUUUCCAUUUUUAAUAAUUGAAAAAAUUGCCUAUCAAAUUCUCUUAAUAAUUCUGUAGCUUACAAAUUUUUGUUUGGUCGCUCAAUCCAUUCCAAGAAUGAUUUCUUGGUUACUCGAUCAGUAUCUUCUAAAAAAUAUUCAUCCUUCAAUGCAUGUGAAAAUACCUCCCAUGAACUUCCAAAUUACCCCAUAAUAGACCUUAUAUACUCUCUUAUCUCUGGUAGCAUAGCAAGCUCAAAUAAUUGAAUCAUCUCCUUCUCAAAAAUGUGAUUCAAUUCUAUUUUCCGCACAUAACAUCUUAAAUAUUUGAAAAUAUCUCUCCCAUCAAAUUGGUCAACCUUGUUAACCACUACUUGCAAUGCUUUGGUUGCCAAAGUCUCUUUGUAAUCAUUGCCUUGUUACUAUUGUAUAAAUAAUGUAAAUGCUUGAAAUAUUUUUGUAAUGUUUAGAUCAAGGUACAUACCUUGUUCACUAGUAGAAAUUCCACUUGAAGUUGUGCUUGAAGAUCCACUUGAAGCUCCACUCAAAGCUCCAUCAAAAAGUCCAAAUUCAACCUUCUUACCUUUUUGCGCCAUCAAUUUCAAAUAACCACAAAUAUAAUCCAAUACCUUCCACUCCAAACUUUUACGUCGGGUUCACCACUAAUGUCGUAUUACGUGUUGUUUUGCUCAUGAAUGCAUCAGAUACUUAGCUGUGGAAGGUGAGAUUAUGUUUCACAAGUUGUCAAGUACCCCUAAUAGGUUUCAUCCAUGCAAGAACAAUAUAAUCUGAAUUUCAAUUCAAAAGUGCUUAAAACACUCUUCUUAGUAGUCUUAACCAUACAUAAUUCCCAAUUACCUUGUUACUUUCAUAUUUAAGCAAUUUGAAUUUUUCUUAUAAAUUCCAAUCUUAAUUAGUGAGCUUUAACAUGGUAUAACGUCUAAUCCGACCGUUGUCGUAUUACGUGCUUUCCUGCUCGAGAACGCGCCGGGCGUCUGGCUGUAGAAGGUAGUAUGGAGAUUCGUCGAUAGUCAAGCAGUCUAUCAAUUUUGACUGCUGGAAUAUAAACGACUGCAACAAUGUACCAUAAAUCUAUACGGAUGCUCUUCGACUGUUUGUCGAAAUCCUUUUUGCCCCAGCCGGUAGGUCUCUAGACGUUACAGAGAACCCCGAACAACCCAAACUGUUAAUCUUCAAUACCGCUUUGUACUUACGAUCUUGUAUCCACUGAUUGUCUUGUUAGAUUAACCCAAUAAAUUUCAUUCAUUCCGCAUACUCAAUCCUAUAGACACCCUUUUAAUCCUUCAAUCAGAGACGUAACUCGAUUUCACAAAACAGUCAAGAGUAUUCAAACCCACUUCAUUAAAAAUCCUGAUUCACCAUUACAAUACUGACUUCAGCAACGAUUGCCUCAGCCUUCUCAAAACUCUACGAAGAAGAAAAAUCCAAAUUCUCUGUCUUUCCUUCCCCGACCCGAAGCAUGAAGCUCCUCUCUCUAAUCCCUUUGAUCUUCAAAAACCUCCAAUGAAAACCGAACUAGUAACCUUGCAAAAGCUUGAAAACUAGCUCCCCCCCCUCGAUUCCCCCUAACCUUAUCCUCUGAAUUUCUUCAAUCUUCCGUCUUAGAUCCGGAAUUGGCUCCCACCGUCAAGCUUGGAUCCAAAAUUGGCUCUCACCGUCAGAGCUUUCUCCUCCGUUUUUACCUUUAAGAAAUCCAACAACGUUCCCUAAAACGGCACAGAGAACAGGACAGCCUGAAACAGAAUCGAAUCCCGUAAUCGGGACCACAUUGAGUCGCCCGACCAAUUCAGGUCUCAUAUUGGAUAAGAGUCCAGUAGUAACCUGGAUGUUCCCGUAAUUGGGUCAAAUUGGUCCUCGCGUCAGAUUGGCUAAGACCCGUAGUAAGACCUAGAUUUCCCGUAAUUAGACUGCAUUGGAUUGACUGGCCAAUUCAGGUCUCAUAUUGGAUAAGAGGACCCGGAUUGGAUUUUCGAAAUUGGAUCCAAUUGGCUCUUCGAACCCGUCGUGUGAAUUAGUCCUUCUCUUCCUGCUGAAUCCCAUUAUUGGAAUCGAACGGAGCAUUUUAGUAUGCCCCGGCUGACUAUAACGGAGUGACUGAACCUGACCACUCAAUAUUUGCACUGGAGUUGGUCGAUGCUCCCAAUAUUCGAGGUAACUGAAUAUUAAUAAAAUUCCCCUUUCUUUUUAUUUUCACUGUAUACUCGUGUUACAACAUGACACCGUCUACUUGAUGUGGAAUUUUGCAUGCAAUUGUCAAAGAAAGUCUUCUAAAUGCUCAAGAAUUUUUAGCCCAAUCCAACUUACAGAUUGUAAAAAAACCUCCAAAAAUUGCACCAAUGUCACUCGGCCGCCAACUUGAAAAGUAAAGCAAAAAUCCCAGCAAUGAUUUCUCCUUCUUCAACUAUUAACUUUGUCUCAAAAUUGGUGUGUAGCUUGAUCUUUAGGUCCUCCAAUACCAUGCCAAUUUUCACCUUAAUCCAACUCUAGAUCUUUAGAUAUUAUAGAAACCCUACCCAACCUCAAACUGCCGCCUUCUGAAAUCCUCUUGUGCUAAAAACUAGAUAAUUCUAAACCAUGCCGUUAGAUU